GUUAGAGUCCACACGCCCAGGCGCUUAGUGAUGAUGUCAGCUCCGGUUGCCAUGCUGAGUCGGAAGUGGGAACCCUUUGGCCCCUGAGACUGUCGUGUCGUCGCUGCUGGCCCUUCAGGCUCUGCCCCUCCCCCUAGGUCUGGAUGGAGGAUACCUUAAAGUGAAAUGACAGACCAGGAGAAUAACAACAACAUCUCAAGUAAUCCCUUUGCUGCUCUUUUUGGCUCCCUGGCUGAUGCCAAGCAGUUUGCAGCAAUCCAAAAAGAGCAGCUGAAGCAGCAAUCUGAUGAACUCCCAGCUAGCCCAGAUGAUUCGGAUAAUAGUGUGUCAGAGAGCCUGGAUGAAUUUGAUUACUCUGUGGCUGAGAUCAGCCGCUCAUUCCGGUCACAGCAAGAGAUAUGUGAGCAACUCAACAUCAAUCACAUGAUCCAAAGGAUCUUCCUCAUUACUCUGGAUAACAGUGAUCCUAGCUUGAAAAGUGGGAAUGGCAUCCCCAGCCGUUGUGUGUAUUUGGAAGAAAUGGCAGUAGAACUGGAAGAUCAAGACUGGCUUGAUAUGAGCAACGUUGAGCAGGCCAUCUUUGCUCGCUUAUUACUUCAAGAUCCAGGAAACCACUUGAUUAACAUGACUUCUUCUACAACAUUAAAUCU
rnacentral:lncRNA from 1 species